UACGGAGGGAGCUAGCGUUAUUCGGAAUAUCUGGGCGUAAAGCGCACGUAGGCGGCUUUGUAAGUAAGAGGUGAAAGCCCAGAGCUCAACUCUGGAAUUGCCUUUUAGACUGCAUCGCUUGAAUCAUGGAGAGGUCAGUGGAAUUCCGAGUGUAGAGGUGAAAUUCGUAGAUAUUCGGAAGAACACCAGUGGCGAAGGCGGCUGACUGGACAUGUAUUGACGCUGAGGUGCGAAAGCGUGGGGAGCAAACAGG
rnacentral:rRNA from 1 species